ACUCAGGAACCUCAAAUCUACUAGAGCACGCUAGCCCGACCUUUUUGAACCGCGGGCCACAUUUUAACAUUAACAUUGCGCGGCGGGCACUCUACAAGUUACUUUUGAUGUUGACCAGCUAAUGAUCAAGAUGUAUUUUUUUAUACGUGAGUAGAAAAAUUCAAAUUUAUGUAGAAGAUUUUUUCAAGUUAGUAUAAUCAUUGAAGUAUUUGGAAACUGAUGAUUUUAACAAAUCCAGUAGAAAAUGGAAAUGAAAAUAGAUGAGCGAAAAUUAUCUAUAAACAGUCACCAACCAAGAGAGUAUGGUUAAUUUAUGAAAAUCUUAAUCUAUUAUUAUGAAAAUUAUAAACAAUCUCUUCAAAGUCUCUCUAAUCAUCAGCCUUAUUUACCUCUAAUGACGUAAAACAUCAAUCACACCGGCAGUCUUCUAGGAAGACUUACACCGUCUUCCUUUUUCCGUAAGCUUUUCUACUCAGAUUUCCACGUUGUUACACUUCUUUGUUUUACUUUGCCAUUUGCCCCUGAUUUAGUCGGAGAAAGAAUAUUCCCGCUCCGUCUCAGCUGGCUGCAAUGUGGCAUAUUAGCACAUUCCACCACUUUGUGGUGUAGGUACCGUAAGACGGGGUAUCUUUGAUAACGCGGAUAAAUUUGAUAGUUUGGGACCCGCAACAUAUAUCACGAAAAAAUCAUUUCUGUUGAUCAGUUAAAAAAUCAUUUCUGUUGAUCAGUUAAAUAAACCGAAUGCUAAAGCUAAGAAUUUUAAUAUGACACUUUAUGUCACAGCUACAUUCUUAGGAAACGAGUACAUUUCUUGCAUAACUUAUGAUCUCGCCUAAAUGCCAUUGGUAAUUUGGUUGUUCACAAAGUUAUCCCGAAACCGAUAAUCUGUUAUUGGUUAUAGGUAUAUUCAAAAAUAUUCGAUAUGCAUCCUUUCAACUGUAAUCGAUAACUAAGAUACCAGUACUUGUUUUUAAUUAAAAUCUGUAAGAUGGAAUGUAGAAACAGCAUUUUUUUCAAAAACUUCCACAGUUACCCCUCCUUACGGUACUUAGGUAAUACAAUCACCAUGCACUUUGGCGCUUAUAUUUCACUUGACUGUCUGCGAAUUUGUCUUCCCCAUAUGCUCCCUGGUGGCUGAGUAAACCACCAGAAGACGUACAUGUAUGUUUGCAAAAAUAAUAACCCAAGUAAGAAAGGUGAGUAUGUGGAUUCUCUAAGCCGAGUCAGGACGGAUCAAACCAAAACAAAGCAGUCGAGCAAAACAGACAACAACGAGAAAUGCAACGACAGCAUACCAUGAGUUGGAUGUUUCGGAAACGGCGGCGACCAAACCUGUUGCCGAAGAAGAGAUGAUGACUCACGUGGAUCAACAGUUGCUCAGGCUACUUUGAUUGCAUGUUAGUAUGUUCUGUGAUGUGAUAACCAUGUGUUAACGGGUGUCACGCCGCGCUUUUUUAGUUUCUUAAGAUUGAUGACUAAUGUUAAAGGUUUGAAAUUUUAGACGAUUAUGCGGGCUUCCUGUGAAUCGCCGAGUCGAUUCUACCAACUCGGUUGGAAGUAGUUCCAAACUGCAACUAACUCGAAGCAAAUCUUUUUCUGCUGCUUCUGAUUUAUUAAUUUAAUAUUCACGCCCGCCAAUAUGCGUAUUUGGUAUUGUAGAAAAAUAUGGCAACGGAAGCCUAGCACUUAUUUGUUCUGGCUUAUCGAUUCAAGCAAUUUGGAUGCUAGAGAUAAGCUUCUUGGAACAAAUGGUAAUAAAUUGCGGUGAGGUUUGGAGGAUUACCUAAGGUACUCUACACAGCAAAAAAUAUUGAAAUUUAAACGACUUGUAACUCAUGUUUGCUCUGAAAAUACAUUGAUUGUUUCAGUUCAAUAAUGUAAAAUGGAGUUAAAAUCAAUGCACAUAGUCGGAGCAUGAAAAAACACACAAUAUUACAUUUUUUUCCGCAAGAUAUUACGACACAAUGUGUUUUUAAAGCUUCCCGUAAAAAUAAAUCAAUAAAACUUACUUUUCCAAUAGAUAAAACUUUAAUUUUCAAUCAGCAUGUAAAAUUAAAGCAUUCAACAUUUGGUUGUCAAAACAAAUAUGGCUGACGUGCUGCUUCUCAGUUAGUUUAUCGCGACACACUCAAAGCUAUUUGCGAAUCUGUGGCUCUAUUGGCGGUUGGAAACCAUUUAACUUAUAGUGCAUAUUCCAAGUCAUCAUUUACGCUUGCAGAUACCGAUGUACACGAAUCUUUCGACACCGACGGCGUUCAUCUUACGCACUUUUAUCAGCAGCAGAUAGAUUAAGAACGAAAUGCAAUGUGCUGUCUUGAUUUCUUUGAUACGCUUUCCAGGAAAUCGUGUGUCGUGUAAUUAUGUGUAUGGAAACAAAAUGCAAUAAAAAUGUGCUAAAU